UUUGAUAAGCUGACAUGGGACAGGAGUAUCUUUUCACUGUUGUGUCAGUUUAUCAAACU
rnacentral:pre_miRNA from 1 species